rnacentral:rRNA from 1 species
CUCAGUAGCGGCGAGUGAAGCGGCAACAGCUCAAAUUUGAAAUCUGGCUCUUUUAGGAUACGAGUUGUAAUUUGUAGAAGAUGCUUUGGGUGUAGCUCCGCUCUAAGUUCCUUGGAACAGGACGUCAUAGAGGGUGAGAAUGUCGUAUGCGACUGGGUGCUUUCGCUCGUGUAAAGCUCUUUCGACGAGUCGAGUUGUUUGGGAAUGCAGCUCAAAAUGGGUGGUAAAUUUCAUCUAAAGCUAAAUAUUGACCAGAGACCGAUAGCGCACAAGUAGAGUGAUCGAAAGAUGAAAAGCACUUUGGAAAGAGAGUUAAACAGUACGUGAAAUUGUUGAAAGGGAAGCGCUUGCAACCAGACUUGCGCGCUGUUGAUCAUCCGAGCUUCUGCCCGGUGCACUCGAUAGCGUUCAGGCCAGCAUCGGUUUUGGUGGGCGGAUAAAGGCCUUGGGAAUGUAACUUCUUUCGGGGAGUGUUAUAGCCCUCGGUCAAUCCGCCCUGCCGGGACCGAGGUCCGCGCUUCGGCUAGGAUGCUGGCGUAAUGGUUGUAAGCGACC